rnacentral:rRNA from 1 species
GACGAACCGUCCAAACGUUAUUCGGAAUCACUGGGCUUACAGAGUUCGUAGGCGGUCUGGAAAGUUGGGUGUGAAAUCCCUCGGCCUAACCGAGGAACUGCGCUUGAAACUACCAGACUCGAGGGGGAUAGAGGAAAGCGGAACUGAUGGUGGAGCGGUGAAAUGCGUUGAUAUCAUCAGGAACACCGGUGGCGAAGGCGGCUUUCUGGGUCUUACCUGACGCUGAGGAACGAAAGCCAGGGGAGCGGAACGGG